ACUGCCUUAUGCCAUGCCUCUCAGCGUGCAGGACAUGGCACCAGGUGAACAUAAUCAAAAUCAGCCAACAGGCUUCUGCACCAUAUGGAGUGGAUCCCAAUCAGGGCAGAAGGUGGCUAAUAUUGAAGUUGCCGUGUACACUGAGAGGAAGGGAAGACAAAGAAGGCGAAGGCUUUGUUGCUUUGGACAACGAGGUUUGGAACUGCACAGAAAACCUACUGGUGGACCACAAAGAGACUGCUGCAACACACACCGCUGGACACGCCCAUACACGCUCUGCUUCUGCUGCCAUGCGCCGACACAGCUGUGCGCAAUCAUCACUCAACACACCUUCUGCUGAUGACACCACUCCCCAUAAAAGCCAGCAUGCCCAGAGAACCAACACUGGAACGUAAUCUCUGCUUGCAAAUUCCCUCCGUCACCUUAGAAGUGAGCUGUGCGCCUCACUUCUCUGGACCCCUCUGGAUUUUGACUGCCUCCCUCGAUCCUCGACCCCCCACUUUGGACUCGGACCUCUUGACGCCCCUCUCAGCCCCGCGGAUUCUCCCACCUGCCUCGCCCAACUGGACUGGUCGCCUGGCCACUCAACAUGCACUUAAAAACAACCACUGGUAAAUGUUCAUUGUAACACUUCACAUAGUCCUGCAAACAA